GACGGGGGAUGCAAGCGUUAUCCGGAAUCACUGGGCGUUAAGCGUCUGUAGGUGGUGAUGCAAGUCACUGGUGCAAAACUCUGGCUCAACCGGAGGAAAGCCAGUGAAACUGCAUGACUAGAGUGUGGGAGAGGUAGAAUGAAUUCCAUGAGUAGCGGUGAAAUGCGUAGAUACAGGGAAGAACACCGGAGGCGAAAGCGUUCUACUGGAACACAACUGACACUGAGAGACGAAAGCUAGGGGAGCGAAUGGG
rnacentral:rRNA from 1 species